UAUAAAUACAUCCAAGGAACCCACUUUCCCACGCAUGCCAAUAAACAAACAGCAGAACUUCUGGAUUCCACAAGCAGUACUGGCUCCCAAGGUUGUGGUGCUCUGAGAAGCCUCCAAUCAUCCUAAUGCCACCUCUCAACUUUGCAACAUAACCUGAUAAAAGGGGAGCAUCUCCAUGAAAACACUUGGCUUCUUAAGAGUCCAUCAGCAUCUGUGACUAAUUCCCCAUUGUUUGCAGCAUCCAGUGUAGUUCUAGUAAAAUGACUGUCACCCCAAGAAGUAUGACUUCAUCUGGGUAAUCAUCAUGAGAAAAGACAGAUGAACUUCUGAGAAGCAAAGAUGCUGCUUUUUAUAUCAAUGUGUCAAAAUGGAAGAAAGAUAAAAUAUAGGCCAUUUGGCAGAAUUCCUUCUAAGCUGUAUGUUUUUUAAGGUUUCCUAUGAGCAUUCAACUACUCCAGAACAGGUGCGUUCAUUUCAUGAAAACUUUAUUGAAUUUAAGUCUGAUUUUAACAAAUCUGAUGACUGCCAGAUCUUCAGAGAUUCCCUGAAGUGGAUUUUGUUCCCUUGAGU